AUUAAGUUUAAUUUAAUAUAGGAUCUGCUCAAUGAUUUAUUAAAUAGCUGCAGUAUUUUGACUGUGCAAAGGUAGCAUAAUAAUUAGUCUUUUAAUUGAGGACUUGUAUGAAAGAUUUGAUGAAAAAUAAACUUUAUUAUUUAUAUAAUUAAAAUUUUAUUUUUAAGUAAAAAAGCUUAAAUUAUUUAAAGGGACGAUAAGACCCUAUAAAACUUUAUAAAUAUUAAUUUUAAUUUUUUUGGAUUUAUAAAUAUUUUAAUUUUAUUAUUUAUUUUAUUGGGGUGAUAAAAAAAAUUAUUUAACUUUUUUUAAAAUUUUACAUAAUUUAAUGAGUAUUUGAAUUAAAAUUUUUAAUUAUAGGAAAAAGUUACUUUAGGGAUAACAGCGUAAUUAAUUUUUUAAGUCCAAAUUUAAAAAUUAGUUUGCGACCUCGAUGUUGAAUUAAGAUUAAUCUUAGGUGCAAAAUUUUAAGUAUUAGGUCUGUUCGACCUUUAAAUUCUUACGUGA
rnacentral:rRNA from 1 species